GAUGAACGCUGGCGGCGUGCCUAAUACAUGCAAGUCGAGCGAACAGAUGAGGAGCUUGCUCCUCUGACGUUAGCGGCGGACGGGUGAGUAACACGUGGAUAACCUACCUAUAAGACUGGGAUAACUUCGGGAAACCGGAGCUAAUACCGGAUAAUAUAUUGAACCGCAUGGUUCAAUAGUGAAAGACGGUUUUGCUGUCACUUAUAGAUGGAUCCGCGCCGCAUUAGCUAGUUGGUAAGGUAACGGCUUACCAAGGCAACGAUGCGUAGCCGACCUGAGAGGGUGAUCGGCCACACUGGAACUGAGACACGGUCCAGACUCCUACGGGAGGCAGCAGUAGGGAAUCUUCCGCAAUGGGUGAAGGCCUGACGGAGCAACGCCGCGUGAGUGAUGAAGGUCUUCGGAUCGUAAAACUCUGUUAUUAGGGAAGAACAAAUGUGUAAGUAACUAUGCACGUCUUGACGGUACCUAAUCAGAAAGCCACGGCUAACUACGUG
rnacentral:rRNA from 1 species